rnacentral:lncRNA from 1 species
CCACCAACUUGUCCGACUUCAAGUGAAAGAUCGAAAGUCCUCUAAUAAUUAUGACUUCCACACUGCCCAACCUCUCUCUCAGUGCAUCCUGGAUGAGCCAAUUCCAUCUUGAUUCAAGAUGCUAUAAAUGGAGCCAUACAAUGGCUCCACCAUCCAAUUGAUCAUUUGGAGAGCUAUAAGACUCUCAUGAUGAUCUAGGGGUAACCAACAUCCUCUUAUGCAUUAGCUUCCUGACGACUAUUC